GCCAAGAGAUAGGAUUUAGAAUCUAACCAUUGGAAUGAUUUGAUUCGUAAUAUAUUUGAAACAGAAUUGUCUUAUAAAGUCAAUAACAAUAAAUUUUAAGUAGAAAUAUUGGAGUUUAGAGAAGUCAAAUUUUGAUUAAUAUACAAUAAAAUUAACAUGGAAUAUGAAAAUUAGCAACUGAAAAUUUUGUUUACCUUUGUUAAUAAGUUUGCAAUUUC
rnacentral:misc_RNA from 1 species